GGCAAAAUAAUUACAAUAAAUGCUUUAUAUAUACAUUCAAACUUUUCAAAUGUAGCGCAUUCGUACAGGUACAGUAACUGCAUGCAAGAUUAUCCAAAUGUAAAUGACAUAUUAAUGAGUAUGUGUAACGAGACUCGUUAAAGUCAUUAUAUUGCUUUACUUUGUCUACAAAUGCGGACGAAUGCGAAGUGUGUAAAAUGCUCUUGAGUAAUUGAUCGACAUACUAAGGAUUUUUACGUGUUUGACUGAAUAUCGGAACCGAUCUUGUCGUAAACACUUCAAUUUUUUGUUAAGCGAUAUCGCUUUAAUAGUGGUUUAGCUAGUAUACAGAGUCAGAGUUUUGCAUACAACGCUUUCAGAGUUGCUUUCAUCCGUCUAUGUUGUAUACAUAUCGAAGAAGUAUUGAAGUUGUUCACCAUGGCUUGUUGUUCCUGAUUUUCCUGAGGAAUUUCUGUUCCGUCCAUUGCCACAUUAGCAUUGCAUUCAAUCACAUUCAAGUUGUGUUCAAACUAAAACAUUCGUCCGUUCAAAGAGCGCCCACUUUGGCUUCCACUUUCUUUCGGUGCGCAGCAGGAAUAUCAAAGCCAACAUUGUGUGAUUAAUUGGCAUGCAUUUCAGAUGUAAAACUUGGAGAAGAUUGCAAUGGCCUGACGUGUUGUGAAAAGUGUACCAAACAGAUCGUGUUGUAGCAUGAGUUCAGAGAAGCAGCCUGGAGUUCUUGACAUAGCAGUUAUAUCUGGUGUCUUGGCACUCGUUCUUAUAUCUGUAAUAGCGUACUUCGUCUCACGUUGUUUCUGCCGACAACGACAUUACGAAGACGGAACUUACGAUGAUGUAAGAAGUUUAGAACGUAUACAUAAUUCUGUAUUUAUUAUUCCAUUUUAUAAUCAGGGUUUCAAUCCUAUGCCACCAAUAUAUAAUGAUGUUGAUGGGAUAAAAUUGUAGUUGUUGUGUACUACAUAAAACUUCAGUCAACAAAUGGAUUGCCGAUAUUUGAAACAUAAAUAACGAACACUUUUCAUCAGUUUUCUCGAACACUUCCAUUAUACAUGCUUAUUUGAGUACCGUUAAUCGUUAUAUACAUGCAGGAGUGUAGACUAUAUAGACGUACGUGUAAUUUGUAUUCGUUAAUUGUAUCCACUAAAUCUUUAUUAAAUGGUCGGAAAUUCCUUUAAAAAAUAAACUUUAUCAUUCGCUAACUUCCAAACCAAAAACCUUUGCCUUCGCUCAAAACGUCGAAGUUUUCUUCAUCUCGCACUUUGAGAUGAAACCACUAUGUAGUUCCGACCAAAACCACAAAUUAAUCACCAGUUUGGACUUUAAUUUAGGUCGUUUAGGCGUUUAUGUGAUAUAGACGUAAAUAUAUACUAUACAAAUCGGCCUCUGUCAGGUUCAAAACUAUACCUGAAACUCGUAUACCGAUACCGAGGUUGAGAUAACUGCUGGUACGCCUCAAUUAUCUUUAUAUAUUUCAAACGGUAACAGAUCAUUUGUGACCAACAUUGGGCUUGGGCCAGGUGAUAGAGUUCGACGGACGUCAGGCAUGGCUGGAGAACAUUGUCUCUUUCUAGAGACGGUAUCGCGUUAUCUAGUCGAGAAUGAGGUG